UUAAGCGACUAAGCGUACACGGUGGAUGCCCUGGCAGUCAGAGGCGAUGAAGGACGUGCUAAUCUGCGAUAAGCGUCGGUAAGGUGAUAUGAACCGUUAUAACCGGCGAUUUCCGAAUGGGGAAACCCAGUGUGUUUCGACACACUAUCAUUAACUGAAUCCAUAGGUUAAUGAGGCGAACCGGGGGAACUGAAACAUCUAAGUACCCCGAGGAAAAGAAAUCAACCGAGAUUCCCCCAGUAGCGGCGAGCGAACGGGGAGCAGCCCAGAGCCUGAAUCAGUGUGUGUGUUAGUGGAAGCGUCUGGAAAGGCGCGCGAUACAGGGUGACAGCCCCGUACACAAAAAUGCACAUGCUGUGAGCUCGAUGAGUAGGGCGGGACACGUGGUAUCCUGUCUGAAUAUGGGGGGACCAUCCUCCAAGGCUAAAUACUCCUGACUGACCGAUAGUGAACCAGUACCGUGAGGGAAAGGCGAAAAGAACCCCGGCGAGGGGAGUGAAAAAGAACCUGAAACCGUGUACGUACAAGCAGUGGGAGCACGCUUAGGCGUGUGACUGCGUACCUUUUGUAUAAUGGGUCAGCGACUUAUAUUCUGUAGCAAGGUUAACCGAAUAGGGGAGCCGAAGGGAAACCGAGUCUUAACUGGGCGUUAAGUUGCAGGGUAUAGACCCGAAACCCGGUGAUCUAGCCAUGGGCAGGUUGAAGGUUGGGUAACACUAACUGGAGGACCGAACCGACUAAUGUUGAAAAAUUAGCGGAUGACUUGUGGCUGGGGGUGAAAGGCCAAUCAAACCGGGAGAUAGCUGGUUCUCCCCGAAAGCUAUUUAGGUAGCGCCUCGUGAAUUCAUCUCCGGGGGUAGAGCACUGUUUCGGCAAGGGGGUCAUCCCGACUUACCAACCCGAUGCAAACUGCGAAUACCGGAGAAUGUUAUCACGGGAGACACACGGCGGGUGCUAACGUCCGUCGUGAAGAGGGAAACAACCCAGACCGCCAGCUAAGGUCCCAAAGUCAUGGUUAAGUGGGAAACGAUGUGGGAAGGCCCAGACAGCCAGGAUGUUGGCUUAGAAGCAGCCAUCAUUUAAAGAAAGCGUAAUAGCUCACUGGUCGAGUCGGCCUGCGCGGAAGAUGUAACGGGGCUAAACCAUGCACCGAAGCUGCGGCAGCGACGCUGAUGCGUUGUUGGGUAGGGGAGCGUUCUGUAAGCCUGCGAAGGUGUGCUGUGAGGCAUGCUGGAGGUAUCAGAAGUGCGAAUGCUGACAUAAGUAACGAUAAAGCGGGUGAAAAGCCCGCUCGCCGGAAGACCAAGGGUUCCUGUCCAACGUUAAUCGGGGCAGGGUGAGUCGACCCCUAAGGCGAGGCCGAAAGGCGUAGUCGAUGGGAAACAGGUUAAUAUUCCUGUACUUGGUGUUACUGCGAAGGGGGGACGGAGAAGGCUAUGUUGGCCGGGCGACGGUUGUCCCGGUUUAAGCGUGUAGGCUGGUUUUCCAGGCAAAUCCGGAAAAUCAAGGCUGAGGCGUGAUGACGAGGCACUACGGUGCUGAAGCAACAAAUGCCCUGCUUCCAGGAAAAGCCUCUAAGCAUCAGGUAACAUCAAAUCGUACCCCAAACCGACACAGGUGGUCAGGUAGAGAAUACCAAGGCGCUUGAGAGAACUCGGGUGAAGGAACUAGGCAAAAUGGUGCCGUAACUUCGGGAGAAGGCACGCUGAUAUGUAGGUGAAGCGACUUGCUCGUGGAGCUGAAAUCAGUCGAAGAUACCAGCUGGCUGCAACUGUUUAUUAAAAACACAGCACUGUGCAAACACGAAAGUGGACGUAUACGGUGUGACGCCUGCCCGGUGCCGGAAGGUUAAUUGAUGGGGUUAGCGCAAGCGAAGCUCUUGAUCGAAGCCCCGGUAAACGGCGGCCGUAACUAUAACGGUCCUAAGGUAGCGAAAUUCCUUGUCGGGUAAGUUCCGACCUGCACGAAUGGCGUAAUGAUGGCCAGGCUGUCUCCACCCGAGACUCAGUGAAAUUGAACUCGCUGUGAAGAUGCAGUGUACCCGCGGCAAGACGGAAAGACCCCGUGAACCUUUACUAUAGCUUGACACUGAACAUUGAGCCUUGAUGUGUAGGAUAGGUGGGAGGCUUUGAAGUGUGGACGCCAGUCUGCAUGGAGCCGACCUUGAAAUACCACCCUUUAAUGUUUGAUGUUCUAACGUUGACCCGUAAUCCGGGUUGCGGACAGUGUCUGGUGGGUAGUUUGACUGGGGCGGUCUCCUCCUAAAGAGUAACGGAGGAGCACGAAGGUUGGCUAAUCCUGGUCGGACAUCAGGAGGUUAGUGCAAUGGCAUAAGCCAGCUUGACUGCGAGCGUGACGGCGCGAGCAGGUGCGAAAGCAGGUCAUAGUGAUCCGGUGGUUCUGAAUGGAAGGGCCAUCGCUCAACGGAUAAAAGGUACUCCGGGGAUAACAGGCUGAUACCGCCCAAGAGUUCAUAUCGACGGCGGUGUUUGGCACCUCGAUGUCGGCUCAUCACAUCCUGGGGCUGAAGUAGGUCCCAAGGGUAUGGCUGUUCGCCAUUUAAAGUGGUACGCGAGCUGGGUUUAGAACGUCGUGAGACAGUUCGGUCCCUAUCUGCCGUGGGCGCUGGAGAACUGAGGGGGGCUGCUCCUAGUACGAGAGGACCGGAGUGGACGCAUCACUGGUGUUCGGGUUGUCAUGCCAAUGGCACUGCCCGGUAGCUAAAUGCGGAAGAGAUAAGUGCUGAAAGCAUCUAAGCACGAAACUUGCCCCGAGAUGAGUUCUCCCUGACCCUUUAAGGGUCCUGAAGGAACGUUGAAGACGACGACGUUGAUAGGCCGGGUGUGUAAGCGCAGCGAUGCGUUGAGCUAACCGGUACUAAUGAACCGUGAGGCUUAACCUU
rnacentral:rRNA from 1 species